rnacentral:lncRNA from 1 species
UCUUGCCUCAUCAUUUAAGCUGCAUCAACCUCAAGAUAGAAGAGUCAUAUAAAUCAAUUUUGAAAUUAAAAAAAACUAGCAUAUUAUUCAUUACAUCAUAUUCCAAGUUGAAGGGAAAUACCAAAUACCAACUGACUACUUGAAACAAAGAGAGUUCGGUUUUUCACCCCCACACAGAGGCACAGACUUUACAGCAUCUCCUCUCUAUGGAACCACAAGCGGCAAUUACGUCAAAUAUUGCUCUAAGAUAAAUAGCUCCUGCGAUUCCAUGAUCAAACACAUAUCUUGCUCUGUGAUGUUUUCUCGCUAACAAAAUUAUUUGAUAUCAACUUCUGUUAAUGCUUGGGGCUUUAAAGUUUCUAUUCUGCAUCUUCAGUCCCCUAGAAGCUUCUGUUUUUUGGAUGUGUUCAUGUAAGGCCUUAUGAUCCACUCGGUUUGAGCUUCAUCCUGAUCCAUCGUUCCUAGUUUUAUCUACAGAAAGGAAACAAGUAACUUGAUCAGACACGACAGAUGGAACGCUGAUCAAGACUUGCAGCAAAACCAAAAGCUAUCACAUGAUCCUAACAACAUAGCACGAAAGCUGUACAUUAUGUAAUUGAUAUUCAAUAAAGAGACGGCACAAGCACUUGGAAACAUGCUAUGGAAGAAAAUCAUGCAUCUCGAUGAGGCCAUUAUGUUCGACCAUAUUAUACUUUAAAAUCAUGCAUCUCGAUGAGGCCAUUAUGUUCGACCAUGUUAUACUUUAAAAUGGAGAAAAUGAUCUAUUUAGAAUCAGAAACUGACAGGCACACAAAAGUUGAACUAUACUGUAACAAGUAAAUAGUAUGAAGCGCUACUAUUAUCUUACAUCAAAUCAUAAAAUCAAAUCGGAUCUAAAUUAUAGAACUUUCAGAGAUUAGAGGUUGAUUAUUAUUAUCUGGCACCAAAUCAGAGAGUUGCGAAAAAAGAAAUAUCAAACUGCAGAAAUAUUUCACCACUUCUGUUCAGGAAGAAAGCAGGGUAUGGUCUUUCCUAACUUCCACCCUCCUCCACAGUAUCAAUUUCAGGCGCUGAGUCUUUAAGACCAAAACAAUGCUGUUAACUAAUAUGACAAAUUUCAAAAACAAGAAAAAUCAGAGAUUAAUAAACUCUAUCACUAUAGUCUAGUUACUUGACAUCCAUUAUCAUGAUACAGAUACAAGAACCUGCAGCUUCUUUUUUUAUCAUUCCGAAUUUUUCUAUAAGGAAUAUGUAGAUAUGAAAG